rnacentral:rRNA from 1 species
UGGAUGAUGUGGUUUAAUUCGAUGCAAACGCGAAAACCUUACCCACCUUUGACAUGUACGGAAUCCUUUAGAGAUAGAGGAGUGCUCGAAAGAGAGCCGUAACACAGGUGCUGCAUGGGCUGUCGUCAGCUCGCGUCGUGAGAUGUUGGGUUAAGUCCCGCAACGAGCGCAACCCUUGUCAUUAGUUGCUACAUUCAGUUGGGCACUCUAAUGAGACUGCCGGUGACAAACCGGAAGAAGUGGGGAUGACGUCAAGUCCUCAUGGCCUUUAUGUCUAGGGCUACACACGUACUACAAUGGCAGGUACAAAGGGCAGCGACACAGCGAUGUGAUGCGAAUCCCGAAAAGCCUGUCUCAGUCCGGAUCGGAGUCUGCAACUCGACUCCGUGAAGUUGGAAUCGCUAGUAAUCGUGGAUCAGCAUGCCACGGUGAAUACGUUCCCGGGCCUU